rnacentral:lncRNA from 1 species
CGGCCCUCUCAUUUCACACGUCUUGACGUCACUUCCCCCUUUCUUAUCAGGAAAAUUAAGAAGAAAAACGUCACUUCCGUCUCUUCUGGUGCCAAUCUAAUUAAUUGUUAUCUCUAUCAUCGUCUUAUCCGCCGACAUCUCGAUCCAAGAGAAUUCCGCUCAUCACAAUCUUGUUAAUUGUUAUCUCCGUCAUCAUCUAAUACGCCGACAUCUCGAUCCAAGAGAAUUCCGUUCAUCACAAUAUUUUGAUGUGAUUUCUGCCUGCGGACAGAUGGAAAAUCAACGUAAUCCUAACUGCGACAGAUCGACACAGCUAACGGUGUCGGAAGAAGGAGAGUUCGUCGGCAAUUCGUCACCUUGUCAAGUAUGUGUUCUUCUAUUGAUUUAGAUGGAUCUUUGAUAGCAAACAAUUUUAUGCUUUAUUCUUUCAAAUGAGAUGGAAUUCCCAUAUUUGUGUUUAAUGUUAUCUACUCGCAGAAAUUUGAAUCAAGGCUUGUCUUUCUCUUGUAUCUAUAUUCUAUAAGCAAAUCUCAAGUCAAUAUAUGUAAUUGAUGCAAAAAAAAAAAAGUGGUCUGUGGAACUUCCAUUUGUAACGGAGGUACAAACAGUUACACAAUGAACUUUACCUUGUGGUAAUGACAAUAGUAAUGAUGCAAGCCAUGAAGUACCAUGCAUUGAAAAACUUUAGGAGAUGGGCAGAUUUUGGAAGAUUGGUCUUUUAAGUGUUUGUUCUCUAAUUUCAGAUGUUAAGCUUUACUUAGAAGUCACACUCUAAAUAAGCAUAUAGAGAAGAGAAGAUUUUACACUGAGUUUCACUAAGCUUAAAUUUUUCGUGAAUUUUAGGCUUGUAACAUUAGGUAAUGGACUUUAUAUUGGUUGGGUUGUGAAACUUUUUAAAAGUAAAGAUGAGGCUAAGUUUAGAAGGGGAGUCCGGUUUGGAUUCUAUGGGUUCGAAAUUCUAGGGGUUUUAAGCUAGUGGAUUCUAAAUUAAUAAUUUGUAUAUUAAAUAGAUUUCUUAAGACAAAUACAAGAUUUGGACCAAACUGACUUGGUUUGGUGGAACUCGUACGGUCAAUGCUAGCUAGUUCUUUCUUGGAUUGUUUAGACUCCCACGGGUUUAUAUUUUCCUUCUUGGAUUAUAGACACCCUUGGGAUGCAGUCCUUCCUCGAACCCUAAGUAAACGCGGGAUGCUUUGUGCACCGGGCUACCCUUAUUGUUCCGGGAGUGAUUCCUUCACCAUUCCUUUUUCCUCCUUUCUUUUAUCUUCUUCAUUGUUGAUUCUCGUCACUGUUUUUCCAUCCAUAAAUCAGCUCACACAAUUUAGUCUUUUCCAAGCUCUCUUUUUGCCUAGGCCUUUCUAGUAAGAUACAAGCCAAGAUGCAAAAUUUUAUUCCAGCAACAACAUAAACGAGAAUGACAAUUGCAGCUCUAGUAGUAGUAGUAACAGUGAUAACGAUAAGUACAAAUAUUUUAAACUAAAUAUAAUUCCAUAUGAAGUAAAUAAAGGAACCAAAGCUAAUAAAGGAGGUAUUGCAAGAAGGAAUUUAACUAGGUGCAUAUGAAUAGUUAUACCCAAUUAAAUCUUUAAUUUAUUGUCCUAAAGAGGAGAAGCAUCUUCAUGUGCUAUAAAGAUUGGAAAAAUUGUAGAUCCUCCUAUAUUCACUCACCAUUAAAACGGGUGAUUAAGGUUUGUUGCCUUUAGGGAAGCCAACGAUGUGGUGUUUUUCUUUUCUAUCUAUCAGUUUCUUAGUAGGUCUUUGACCUAGUUUCACUCCACACUAACAUGCAAGGGAAGAGAAUAAUCUGAAAGUGAUAUGUUUAGUUUUUAGACAAGAAUUGUUUCUCUUUAUACGAUCUACAAGAACCAGACCCCGUUUGGUGGGAUUUCACCGGGUUUGUUGUUGUCAUGCGGACUGCAAGAAAUGAUGGGAAAAUUCCAAAUUGACUCGGCAGGCAUUUGACGACAAGACUUGAUAGGAUACCUCUACAAACCAUUCAAGCUAAAUGUCGAUAAUUGUCAUAAAAAUGGAAAAUCUGUUUAGAAAUACAUAGAUGAGGAUUGUAUGUAUGUCCUUUUGUUGGAACUAAGAACCCUAAGUACACAAGAAUGAAAUAAUUGGAAAAUCAUGUUAAGAGUGCCUUGCAGUUGCAUUGCUUUCCCUCCCCCCGCACACCCCGAAACAGAAGAGAAGAAUAAUAUGCAAAAAAAUUCCAUAGCUGAAAUACACCUUUUCCCACAUUAAACGCACCAUGUUGAAUUUGGGGAAAAACACAUUAAUUAUGCUGAAAAUAUUCUUGCCUUUGUUUUCCAGGCAUGCAAAGUAAUUGACAAACAAGCAUGGUAUUACAAUACUUACCAUUUCUUUUAUUCUUAAAACCUAGUGCAAUUAAUUAAUUCAAUCAAAGAAACUGAAUCUCAAAACUUUCUCAUAAUCUCCUGUGACGCGCAACUACGAUGCAGAAGGAAAGAAUCCAUGGUGGAUAUUCUUCUUAUAGUGAAAUAUUCACCAUAGGGAAAAUAAAGUUGCCUUAUUUUCUCCUUUAUUGUAGUUAUUUACAGCUAGUUGUUUUUCGUCUUAGGAAAUUCUUUUGAAGUUGAAUUUGGUAAUUGAUAGCAUGCAGUAGCCCACACAUAUCCAUUGGUGAGACAACCUUAUGUAAAAGCAAUAGAUGGAUAUGUUAUUUCUCAGUUUCAUUUCUCAUCAUGGUGAUCCUUCCUCUUGUUGUACCAGGUGUCUUAUUCCCCAUUUUCUUGGCUGCUGGAGGUGCUUGAUUGAAACACGCACUUCCUGUUGCAGGUAAAGCUUCUCUGCAGUGUGAUUCUUAACUAUCUGCUGAUGACUCCAAACGAUUGGCAUUACUUUUUAUUUCUGAUUUUUUUAUCAUUACACCAUACACUUUUUUAGAAGUGUGCAUGAGCGUUUCCAUUUAUAAAUUAUAGAAUUCAGAACUUUGAUAUUGUUAGACCAUCGUAGAGAACAUAUCAUAGCAAUUACCAGUUUCAGAUUCAUUUAAGUCAGAUUGGUAGGAGAAAUGAGUUUCUCCGACAAGAAUGAUUUUUAUUCAUUAGAAGGUUGAUAAUCUAUUUUUGAUAUAUAUAUACACACACAUAUACAUACCUUCACCGAAAUGAGGAAUCAAGAUGAUUGAUAGACCCAUGUGCUAUGAUCCUCAAACACCGAGCCAUUGGCUUCUCUAAACCAAUGUACUAUCAAGUGCCAAAGUCUGACUGAAGGGUAACCCACCAUUGAAAUGCAACACCUUGAGAGAACAAUAGUUUCAACAGUUACGAGGCAGUAUGUCUAUUGAUGAGUAUUUUGUCUCAAAACUUACUUGAUUUGGACUUGAGAAAAGGGUUUGGUCAACGAAAGCCAUUAUUUUGGUCAUAUAAAGUGUACCGUGAUGAGUCAAGAUCUUGAGUCGGGAUUGAUGUUCGAGGUAUUCAAUGUCAGUAUGGGGAUUCAUGAAUGAAGUCUGAGUUCAUCAAGAAUUUUAUAGCUAUGAUUUGAGGAUAAAUUUGUAUGGUCAAUGAAAUUGCGUGAAAUUCACAUGCGCAUACACUCGAGAAGACCCCUAUCAUUCGGUACAAGUUGAAUCGACAAGUUCUAGUCUUCGAUAGUCAUCGAUUUGAACUGAAUCCUAAUCAUUCUCUUCGUGAAAUAAGCAACAAAUCAUUCUUUCUCAGAUUUUUAAGGGUGUAGAGAGAUCCUACUCCAAGAAUUACCAUGCCAUUGAAGGCAAAGAUGAAUCUCGAAGUUCCUUGUCCAUGCAUAGGUUAGUUAUUCUCCAUGUGUACUGAAAAAUUAUUCUUAAUAGAGCUUUUGAAAAAUCAUUUUGCUUAUUUAUAAAAGUUGUCCCUCACAGAAAUAGCAAAGGGGUUCCUACUUUAAACAAACUACCACUGACAAAAACAUAUCUUACAAAUAGCAAACAAAAUCUAAUAUAUAGAUUAUCAAAAGCUGGUCUAUUGCUCAAAAAACUAUCGUCUGAAGUUAGUCUAACCGGCUACCGAAGUUCUUGCAAAUUGUUUGACCCUUUGAGUAUGUCUUAUACUCAUUUAUCUUAUGUUAUUUUCUUUCUAUUUGUGGACUAAAUUCAGGUUAUUUGCAUAGAAAGAUAUGAAGUUAGCAUAAUAACAUGCAUAAUUUCUUGAGCUUUACAAGACUGUGGAAAGGAACAUGGAAAAAUAAUAUUACUGAUAUCUUUUUACAAUAUAAUACAAGAAGUCCUAUUUAUAGCUACACUCUACGUAGUACAUACUACUGCAAUUCCAAUAUGGGACUAUACACACUUAUAUACAUAAUUAUCUAACAUUCUCCGUCAAGCCGGUGCAUAUAAAUCAUAUGUAUUCAGCUUGUUAAAAAUAUAACUAUACGAGGACCAGUAAAGGAACUGGUGAAAAUAUCUGCAAGCUGAUAAUUCGACUUCAUAAAUUUUUUAAUAAUAUCUCUUGAGAGUAUCUAUUCUCUGACGAAGUGACAGUCAAUCUCAAUAUGUUUAGUCCUCUCAUGGAGCACUGGAUUUAACGGAAUAUGAAUAGAAGCUUGAUUAUCACACUUCAAUUCUAUCUCAUUGAUUUCUCCAAAUUUUAAUUCCUUGAGUAGUUGUUUGAUCUAAACUAGCUCACAUGUUGCCAUACCCAUUACUCGAUAUUCUACUUUUCCACUAGAUCGAGCAGGUGCAUUUUGCUUCUUGCUCUUCCAAGACACCAAGUUACCUCCUACUAAAAGACAAUAUCCCAAAGUAGAACGUCUAUCAGAAGGUGAUUCUGCCUAAUUAGCGUCUAUGUAUCCAACGAUCUGCUCAUGGCCUCAAUCCUCGAACAACAGUUAUUUGCCUAGGGCUGAUUUUAUAUACUGAAGAAUUCAGCACACUCACAAAGAAGGAAAUAUAAGGUCUAAUCAUUGUGAGGUAAUUCAACUUACCAACCAGCUGCCUAGAUGUUGCAGGAUCACUAAGAGGCUCCCCUUGUCCUGGCAGAAGUUUGGUAUUUGGAUCUAUAGGAGGGUCAAUGGGUCUACAACACGUCAUUCAUGUCUCUCAAGAAUAUAUAAGGCAUACUUUCGUGCUCAGAGUUGGUUGAAUUUAAAGGUAAUUUUAAGAAGCAUACAAGACUUAAUAAAGAGUUAAAUAAGUGGUGAUAAAUAUGCAUUUCCUUGCAGUAAUGGUGAGCUAUCAUAGGGCUAAGUUGGUAGAACUUUGGCUACUCUAUCGAAAGAUCAGAGUGUAUUGUGAUCGUGUAGUCUACUAAAAAGACGAAAAAUGAAGGUAUGUUUGUGUCCCAUUUUAACUUAUCAAGGAAGGUCUGUUUGCAUUUCAUUAUAACUUGAAAAUGAAGGUAUGUUGCCGGAAGGAAAAUUGAUGCACGGGAACUUCUGGCUGUAUUCUGGUUCCUGAAUGUGUUUGACCACCACUGCUCUUCACGGAAAAAUAAUAUUAUUGAUGUUAUUUCACAAUAUAAUACAAGAAGUCCUAUUUAUAGAUAUACUCUAUGUAGCAUAUAUUAAUUCGUAUUUCAGUGUGGGACUAGACACACUUAUAUACACAAGGAUGAUGCUUGUAAGCUCUAAUUUAAAAACAUACAAGAGCUAAUAAAGGUAAUAUUUUGUCUUGUUUAGAAGUGUACAAGAGCUAAUAAAGGUAAUAUUCUAUCUGAUUUAAAAACAUUCAAGAGCUAAUAAAAUUAAGAUUUAGAAACAUACAAGAACAACUGAGUUAAAAUUUUAGAAACAUCAUCCAUAUCAAACCAAAAGACGGAAGAGAUAAUAUCAUAUUGGAUCAAUCAUAUACAUAUAGAAACUUUUGUAAUAACAUAUAUGUAGAAACUUAUUUAACCAUAAUAGCAUGAAAUAUUUCUUUUGCUAGUCACUCACAUUUUUGUUUGCAGCUUCGGACAUCCUUGGUACCUAAUCUUUAAUGUUCAUGUUGCCUGGUUCGACAAGUAUCAAGGUCAUACAAUUCCAGACACGAGUUCUAAGCAUCGUGCUCAGAGUUGGUUGAAUUUAAAGGUAAUUUUAAGAAGCAUACAAGACUUAAUAAAGAGUUAAAUAAGUGGUGAUAAAUAUGCAUUUCCUUGCAGUAAUGGUGAGCUAUCAUAGGGCUAAGUUGGUAGAACUUUGGCUACUCUAUCGAAAGAUCAGAGUGUAUUGUGGUCGUGUAGUCUACUAAAAAGACGAAAAAUGAAGGUAUGUUUGUGUCCCAUUUUAACUUAUCAAGGAAGGUCUGUUUGCAUUUCAUUAUAACUUGAAAAUGAAGGUGUGUGUCAUUUUAACUAACUAAGGUAGGAAUGCGUGUGUCUCAUCUUAACAUUUUGGGAGUAAGGCCACAACUCACUGCACAUUCCAAUAAAAUGUUCAAAAUAAUGAGCAGAGCAUGACCUGAUUGAGAAGGUGUCUUAUCAGAUCUGAAAUGUCAUGAAGUUAUAUUCAUUUGUUGCAAAAUAUCUAAUUACACCCAGGGGCGGCUCAAGCACACACGGGGCCUAAAGCCAAAGUUAAAUUUAAUAUGAGGCCUACACUUUUAAAAGAAAGUUAUAAGAUAUGUUUUUAUUUGAAGUCUAUUCUUUUAACUUUUUGAGAUAUAAAGUUGUUAAUAGUCUUUUUAUAAUCGAUUUUCUCUAAUAAUUCUUGCUCGAUUGAUAAUAUAGCCAACCUAUCUAAUCUUUCUUGAGAUAUUAUUGAUCUUAGAUAAGAUUUUACAAAGCAAUAGAAGUAUGGAACUACUGGAAGCUUAAAGUUAUUGUUGAACACCUGAACUAGUGAAAUCAUGGAAAAAGAACGUGAGUAAUGAAAUCUUGGAGAAAGAAGUGAGUAAGAAUAUUAAAGAGAAACACACAAAAUAUGUAGGGUUUUUCUGAAUUGGAAAAAAAGAAAAAGAACUAUUGACUUGGACAAAUUAAGGAAGAGAGAGCAAAUUUUUUAAUGGUG